rnacentral:rRNA from 1 species
GACGGAGGAUGCAAGCGUUAUCCGGAAUGAUUGGGCGUAAAGCGUCUGUAGGUGGUUUAUUAAGUCUACUGUUAAGUAUCAGGGCUUAACCCUGAAUCGGCAGUAGAAACUCAUAAGCUUGAGUACGGUAGGGGCAGAGGGAAUUCCCGGUGUAGCGGUGAAAUGCGUAGAGAUCGGGAAGAACACCGAUGGCGAAAGCACUCUGCUGGGCCGAAACUGACACUGAGAGACGAAAGCUAGGGGAGCAAAUGG